AUUGAACGCUGGCGGCAUGCCUUACACAUGCAAGUCGAACGGCAGCACGGGAGCAAUCCUGGUGGCGAGUGGCGAACGGGUGAGUAAUAUAUCGGAACGUGCCCAGUCGUGGGGGAUAACGUAGCGAAAGCUACGCUAAUACCGCAUACGAUCUAUGGAUGAAAGCGGGGGAUCGCAAGACCUCGCGCGAUUGGAGCGGCCGAUAUCAGAUUAGGUAGUUGGUGAGGUAAAGGCUCACCAAGCCGGCGAUCUGUAGCUGGUCUGAGAGGACGACCAGCCACACUGGGACUGAGACACGGCCCAGACUCCUACGGGAGGCAGCAGUGGGGAAUUUUUGGACAAUGGGCGCAAGCCUGAUCCAGCAAUGCCGCGUGCAGGAUGAAGGCCUUCGGGUUGUAACGUAGC
rnacentral:rRNA from 1 species